AGAAAAUCACCACCUUAAAAGAACCUACAUGCAGGAUGACAUGAAUAAUGCUUGGACAUGUCAAAAAAGUGUGGAAUGAAUUCUCCAACUCCCCAUUGCAAUGAACACAAGUGGAUGGACACUCAAUUCCCUUUUCCCUCAGUCUAACUCUGAUUGGCAGACAGUUCAAUGCUGCCCUCCACACCUAGGGGAUCAGGCAGCAGCUGCCAGAUGUUAAUGUUCC
rnacentral:lncRNA from 1 species